GACGUAGGGCGCGAGCGUUUGUCCGGAUUUAUUGGGCGUAAAGAGCUCGUAGGCGGCUUGUCGCGUCGUCCGUGAAAACUUGGGGCUCAACCCCAAGCUUGCGGUCGAUACGGGCAGGCUCGAGUUCGGUAGGGGAGACUGGAAUUCCUGGUGUAGCGGUGAAAUGCGCAGAUAUCAGGAGGAACACCGGUGGCGAAGGCGGGUCUCUGGGCCGAUACUGACGCUGAGGAGCGAAAGCGUGGGGAGCGAACAGG
rnacentral:rRNA from 1 species